GCUACAGCAAUAAGUACAGCUACCCAUACAGCUACAGCACGAGGACGUCAGCGGUGUAGGAUAGCGACACUGCUGUUUGUCCCGUCCCCAAGCGAUCCUCUUUCAUGUUUUCCUCUUUUAUUUUUGGCUUUUUUUUUUAUUAUUACGAUUAUGUUGUUGAUAUUGAUUCGUCGAUCAACAAGUAUACUGGGCCUCAGGGCCCAAAUAAAGCCCGG
rnacentral:lncRNA from 1 species